AUUGAACGCUGGCGGCAGGCCUAACACAUGCAAGUCGAACGGUAGCACAGAGAGCUUGCUCUCGGGUGACGAGUGGCGGACGGGCGAGUAAUGUCUGGGAAACUGCCCGAUGGAGGGGGAUAACUACUGGAAACGGUAGCUAAUACCGCAUAACGUCGCAAGACCAAAGUGGGGGACCUUCGGGCCUCACACCAUCGGAUGUGCCCAGAUGGGAUUAGCUAGUAGGUGGGGUAAUGGCUCGCCUAGGCGACGAUCCCUAGCUGGUCUGAGAGGAUGACCAGCCACACUGGAACUGAGACACGGUCCAGACUCCUACGGGAGGCAGCAGUGGGGAAUAUUGCACAAUGGGCGCAAGCCUGAUGCAGCCAUGCCGCGUGUAUGAAGAAGGCCUUCGGGUUGUAAAGUACUUUCAGCGGGGAGGAAGGCGGUGAAGUUAAUAACUUCACCGAUUGACGUUACCCGCAGAAGAAGCACCGGCUAACUCCGUGCCAGCAGCCGCCGUAA
rnacentral:rRNA from 1 species